AAGGAGGAGGAAGGUGUGGACGACGUCAAGUCAUCAUGGCCCUUAUGCCCAGGGCGACACACGUGCUACAAUGGCAUAUACAAUGAGACGCAAUACCGCGAGGUGGAGCAAAUCUAUAAAAUAUGUCCCAGUUCGGAUUGUUCUCUGCAACUCGAGAGCAUGAAGCCGGAAUCGCUAGUAAUCGUAGAUCAGCCAUGCUACGGUGAAUACGUUCCCGGGUCUUGUACUCACCGCCCGUCACACCAUGGGAGUUGAUUUCACUCGAAGCCGGAAUACUAAACUAGUUACCGUCCACAGUGGAAUCAGCGACUGGGGUGAAGUCGUAACAAGGUAACCGUAGGAGAACCUGCGGUUGGAUCACCUCCUUUCUAG
rnacentral:rRNA from 2 species